rnacentral:tRNA from 1 species
UCGGGCUUCGCCGAGAUCGGCGGCGACGGCGCUGAGCGUCAGCGCGAGCUGUCGGAGAGCGCUCGUGCCGCGCAGAUCGUGCUCUGCGGCCCGAAC